CCUACGGGCGGCAGCAGUGGGGAAUAUUGCACAAUGUGGGAAACCCUGAUGCAGCGAAGCCGCGUGAGUGAUGAAGUCUUUCGGUAUGUAAAGCUCUAUUUGCAGGGAAGAAAAUGACGGUACCUGAUUAAGAAGCCCCGGCUAACUACGUGCCAGCAGCCGCGGUAAUACGUAGGGGGCCAGCGUUAUCCGGAUUUACUGGGUGUAAAGGGAGCGUAGAGGGCAGCGCAAGUCUGAAGUGAAAUGUCGGGGCUUAACCCCGGAACUGCUUUGGAAACUGUGCAGCUAGAGUGCAGGAGAGGUAAGUGGAAUUCCUAGUGUAGCGGUGAAAUGCGUAGAUAUUAGGAAGAACACCAGUGGCGAAGGCGGCUUACUGGACUGUAACUGACGUUGAGGCUCGAAAGCGUGGGGAGCAAACAGGAUUAGAUACCCUGGUAGUC
rnacentral:rRNA from 1 species